rnacentral:rRNA from 1 species
UACAGAGGUGGCAAGCGUUGUUCGGAAUUACUGGGCGUAAAGGGCGCGUAGGCGGUUCGAUAAGUCCCGUGUGAAAUCCCUCGGCUCAACUGAGGAACUGCACGGGAAACUGACGGGCUUGAGUUCGGGAGAGGGAAGCGGAAUUCCGGGUGUAGCGGUGAAAUGCGUUGAUAUCAGUCGGAACUCCGGUGGCGAAGGCGAUGUGCUGGACCUUUACUGACGCUGAGGCGCGAAAGCCAGGGGAGCAAACGGG